rnacentral:snRNA from 1 species
UGCCGACCCUCAGUAGGA